GGGUCUCAGAAGACAGUGCUGUUGGGGAAUCUCCACUAUGGCCUGGGCUCUGCUCCUCCUCACCCUCCUCACUCAGGGCACAGGGUCCUGGGCCCAGUCUGCCCUGACUCAGCCUGCGUCAGUGUCCGGGACUCUGGGACAGUCGGUCACCAUCUCCUGUGCUGGAAGCACGGGAUCUUAUAAAUAUAUUUCCUGGUACCAACAGCACCCGGGCACAGCCCCCAAACUCCUAAUUUAUAAUGGGAAUAAUCGGGCCUCAGGGAUCCCUGAUCGCUUCUCCGGCUCCACGUCUGGCAACAUGAUGUCCCUGACCAUCUCUGGGCUCCAGGCUGAGGACGAGGCUGAUUAUUACUGUCACGCGUAUGCUGGCAGUUAUAGUUACCACAGUGGUUCAAGCCCAUGGGGAAGUGAGACCCAAACCUCCUCUGAGCUCACUUGA